CCUCUCGUAGUUUAGUGGUAGAACGUUGGUGCGUAAAGCCAAAGGUCCCGGGUUCGAUUCCCGGCGGGGGUG
rfam:Agrilus planipennis Contig67174, whole genome shotgun sequence.